ensembl:lncRNA
GUGAGAGUUGAGCAACUCAUGUUUGUUCUCGUUGUCCGGCAUGUGCUGAAGUCUGGGUGCUUUGUUUGUUGCUCGCCAGUACCGUGCGGGUGAGCAAACCAUACUAAGGAGAAGGUUAGACCUGAACCAGACCUGGUGAGCCCAGGGUCCUACCUGCUGGUGCACAGGUGCAUUGGGCCAAGAAGUCAUGCGACUCUCAUGUCUUUCAAGCAGAAAAUGGACCCUGCGAUGCGAUAAUGGGCAAUCUGUCACUGUGUGUACCUGUUGAGUCCACCAACAAUCCUCCAUCGGCGGGCCAAUGACAUAUGACUGCAGCACAAGGGACACGCCCAUCUGGAAGAUUGGAAGCGCUGAGCUGGAGAUGGAGCAGACAGACUUCCAUAUUUCCCAAAAUAUUAUAAUUUAUUAGUGCCUGAGCUGACUGAAAGUCGGGCGAAAGCCCUAUUGUGUUUCGAAGAAGUAUUAUUAUUACUUUACCACUUUAAUCGCACUUUUGAGGCCUUUAUCAUAUUCAAAAACUCUUGGCGUGCAAAUCAGAAGUGCGAAAAAUGUAGAUAUUCUUUGGGUUGCGGAUUUGGGGAUACAAAAAUGGGUCUCUUGCGCCCCCUGGAAGUGCUUCCUCUGGGGACAUUUUUCCCCAGUUUUCCUGAUUGACUUGAAAUUUUGCACACAGGUGCUGUUGGAUAUGCUCUACAAAAAAGUCAAUCAUGUUAUGCAAAUGAGCCUAGCAAGAUUUUCCGCCAUUUUGAAUUUUGUGAAAAACACGUUUUUUGCGAACUCCUCCCAGACGCUAGGUCAGAUUCUCACGAAAAUUUCAGGAAAUCAUUAUUGGGUCACUGCCAUCAGAAGAUAUUAAAAUGUAUCUCAUUGGGUUUCAAAGUUAUGGACCAAUUAAGGGGUGUGGCCUAAAAGUGAAAGACCUAUAACUUCAAAAGUAUUUGGCUUGUCCUCAUCCCGCUUGAUUUUUCCAGAAUAUUUGAACUUUAGGGGGCGCUGCAGUCGUUCUCUGAUAUAUUGCUGUUUUUUUUUAAAUUUCCAUUGUAUUUGGGAUUUACAAACGAACAAACUCCUCCUAGAAUUUAAACCCGACGCACUUCAUUUUUUGGGAAAAUUGAUACUGACAUCUGGAUGGUCAAAAGUAAAAUCAAUAGUUUUCGUGAAACUACCAGGGCGUGGCCAUUUUGGUCUAUUUUAUUGAAAACGUAAGAUGUUAUAACUCCAAGGAAUAUUUUUAUUUCUGGACGAAAUUUCUAAUUUCUAUUGUACGCCUUAAAGUAUUCCCAUGCAGUCCAUACAUCCAUCCAUCGUCAAACCGCUUAUCCUGCACACAG